ensembl:lncRNA
UUUUGACAAAUAAAAACAAGAUUACUUAAAUGGUAAAACAAACACUAGUGGGACGAGGUGAAACGAAAUCCGUACUGAAAAGCGUGGAUUAUGGGCUCAGGCCUGUGCACAACACCUGUGGGGAGUGGCUGGAGAAUCCUUCCCAAAAUAACCCAGAAAACUCAACCCAGCAGGUUUGCAACAAGGUGGAACAGGAAAGAAAAUGACAGACCACCUGAGGCCCGAAUCUGGGAAGACCUGCCUCACCAUGAGGGGAACUGACACCUUUGCUUUUCAGCAUGCAGAAGUGGUUUUGGUACGGCUUCUCAGAACAUAACGUGAACGAUGCUUAUCUCCCAUGUCGGUAAGUGGUGGCACGCAAGGCAAGCUAAGACUUUUUGACACAUGGUCCACAUCUGAGGCGUUUUCCGAGAGCAUUGUGAUC